GAGGCGGGUGAGGCCUGGGGAGAUGACAUCACAUGGCUGGGGCUACUCAGUGGUGAAGGAAGAGACAAAGCGGGACACUGCUCUGGCUACUGGGGGGAGCAGUGGUCCUUCCCACCUCUUGUGCCAGGUACAGCACUGGGGCCUGGGACCAGGACGAGCCUCAGAACACGGCUGGUGAGCACACCCACCUCCACCUGCACCCAUCCCCGCUCCCCACACACACCACACACACACUCAUCACACACACACUCACACACAUAGCACACAUGCUCAUUACACACAUGCUCAUCACACACUCAUCACACACCACACACACUCAUCACACACACAUCACAUAUGCUCAUCACACACAUGCUCAUCACACACAUGCUCAUCACACACUCAUCACACACAUGCUCAUCACACACACCACACACACAGUCAUCAUACACACUAAUCACACACCACACAUAUGCUCAUCACACGUGCUGAUCACACACAUUCAUCACACACCACACACAUAUUCAUACACUCAUCACAUGCACACCACACACACUCAUCACACACAUUCAUCACACACACAACACACACGUUCAUCACACACUCAUCACACACAUGCCACACAAUGCUCAUCAAACAUGCCACACACAUGCUUAUCACACAUGCUCAUCACACAUGCCACACACGCUCAUCAUGCACAUUAAUCACACUCACACCGUGCACACUCAUCACACACUCAUCGCAAACACAUUCAUCACACAUGAUCAUCA
rnacentral:lncRNA from 10 species